CCAUCUUGUCCUCAUUCUUGGUCAAUAACCCAUAUAUUGUUCUUUUCGUGGGUCAUCGGCAUCCUAUAAAUGACAUUUUCCUCGUUAUUUAUAUAUUUAUAUAUAUUUUUUUAUGUUUUAGCCUGUACAACGAGAGCUAACGGAAAUAAGAGUUAAAAAUUGUUGUACCUUCUGCUUGUUGCAGGUCUUUCUUUUCCGCGGUAUAUAUUUACCGUGCUCCCUGAAUUUUUUGUCCGCCUCGACUUUGUAUUUAGUGCACCAGUUUUUCCCAGGUUUGUAGUUUAGAAAAGAUUUUCCCACCUGGUCAAAGACCAGGUACAGGCGGUUUGGGAUCGGUAUUUUGGUCAGCUAUGCCCCCAUGACGAUGGACAUGAACUUCGUUUGUCGUUUCGAUUCAUUUCGUUCCUGUGCUUCAAACAAAUCAAGGAUCCGGAUGGAAUCCCCACUUUCCUUGCCCAAAUUUUUCCAGCUCGUCUGAGCGAAGCCGAAUCACUGCAAUUGUCUUUUUCUUCUCCCAUUUUCCUUCUUUUACACAUCGUUUGUCGUCCGUUUCCGACGUCACGCAUCGUAUGAUUAAUAAAAACAAAUAAAAAUAUACUACGCCGUCGGCUCCUAGCAUGACACGGGUUUUAAGACUUGUAAACGUUUUUGGUAAAGCUCAAA